rnacentral:rRNA from 1 species
AGGAUGAACGCUGGCGGCGUGCUUAACACAUGCAAGUCGAACGAUGAAGGCUGGAGCUUGCUCUGGCUGGAUUAGUGGCGAACGGGUGAGUAACACGUGAGUAACCUGCCCCUGACUCUGGGAUAAGCGCUGGAAACGGCGUCUAAUACCGGAUACGAGCUUCCACCGCAUGGUGAGGAGCUGGAAAGAAUUUCGGUCUGGGAUGGACUCGCGCCUAUCAGCUUGUUGGUGAGGUAAUGGCUCACCAAGGCGACGACGGGUAGCCGGCCUGAGAGGGUGACCGGCCACACGUGGGACUGAGACGACGGCCACGACCGUCCGUAACCGGGAGGCCAGGCAGGUAGGGAA